rnacentral:lncRNA from 10 species
CUUGGUUUCAUGACUGCGAGGGACCUUCUGCAGCCACCUGGGCUGAGUCUAUAAAGAAAUAUGCACAAGCAGCAUCAUUCAGCAGGAUUUCAGACCAGAAAGAACCCUCCCGUCAGAGACUGGUGGCCAUACAAGGGUGCGCUGUGAAGCUUUCGAGACAGCAGACAGCCGGAGUCGUGAUCAGGGUGGCCAGGAAGGGAAACAACACGGUAGCAACCAGAGUGCCCUCCCAUGUUUUGAGCCUUUGGUACUAAUUUUGCUAUUGACUUGAUUUUUACUGCAAAUAGGGAUUCCUUUGGUGACGAAUAAGCCAGUUGGUGUGCAGGGUGUUCACUGCAAGGCCCAGACAGGACUACAAGAGACCAGGACUGUCCUCAGUAUGUGAUCUCUCUCUCCUCUGGCGUCAGCUCUACCCAGGAACGGAUGUGAAGGCUGAAGCCCAGGCAAGGGCUCAUAGUGUGGGGACCGUGCAGCUGGAUUCAUGUCCAGUGGAAUUUGACACCAUGGCCGUCAUCAUCAUGUUUUGCCGUCAUCAGCACAGACCUCUGAGCAGAAAUGCCAGAACAAUGUGGGGCCACCCUGGAGAUUUAUUUUAUUUAUUUUUUAAAUUAAAUUAAAAUUGUUUUUAAGAGACGGGGUCUUGCUAUGUUGCACAGGUUGAUCUUGAACUUCUGGGCUCAAGCAAUCCUCCUGUCUUGGCCUCAGAGUGUUGGGAUUACAGACCUAAGCCACCGCGCCCGGCCUGGAGAUGUAUUUUAAACUGACAUCUUGGGAGAAAUAAAAGCCUUCCUUUUCCCUGUGUGUCG